AAAAUGCCAGUCAUUGACGGA
rnacentral:miRNA from 1 species